rnacentral:rRNA from 1 species
UACGUAGGGGGCGAGCGUUGUCCGGAAUCAUUGGGCGUAAAGAGCGUGUAGGCGGCUUGGAAGGUCAGCUGUGAAAACUCGAGGCUCAACCUCGAGACGUCGGUUGAAACCACCUGGCUAGAGUCCGGAAGAGGAGAGUGGAAUUCCCGGUGUAGCGGUGAAAUGCGCAGAUAUCGGGAAGAACACCCGUGGCGAAGGCGGCUCUCUGGGACGGUACUGACGCUGAGACGCGAAAGCGUGGGGAGCGAACAGG